UUGCAAAUACCAGAGGAAAGAUGAUUUUAACUCUAAAGCAGCUUGGGAAGUUAUAAUCACAAAGUAAUUGCCAAACUAGGCGAAAUAUACUGUGCCUUCUGGAACAAUCAAGGAAUUUUGUAGAAGAGGCAACAGAGUGUGAAGGUCAAGAUGUUACUCUGGAGCCCAACAGCCCAGAAUUAAUAUUAGGUCCAGAUCCAGUUGAUGAAGCUGGCUUGGGAAAGUUACUUCAACUUUCAACUCCUUCAUCUCUGCUGCCAUUCUCAUCAGGUCACAGAGAGGAUGAAAUAAAUAAAUGUAAUGUUCAACACAUAGUAAGUAAUCUAGAAUAUUAACUAUAUUUACAUUACAUUUCAAAAUUCAUUAGCUUCC
rnacentral:lncRNA from 1 species